rnacentral:lncRNA from 1 species
CUGGAAAGGACCUGGCUCACAGAACAAGUCUUUAAUUUCAAGUUGACAAGGUUGGGAGCAUGUGCUAUGGGCACUUGGAUAGGCAAGAUGGAUGGAUGGCCAGGGAGUGCAGAUGUUGCUGAAGUGGGCAUCCUAGAACCCUCCAGAAAUCCAGCCAUGCCUCCAGCUGCCUGGACACUUAGAGCUUCUGGUACCCAGCUGGGUCUUUCUCCGGUCUCACUCUGUACCUCUGGCUGGUCUAGAAUUCUCUGUGUAGCCCGGUUGACCUCACACAUGAU